rnacentral:miRNA from 1 species
AAACGGAGAAUAAAAAGGGAGAAAGAAAAAGGAAUAAAGAAGGUUGAUAAAGGCACCACAUGUUUGGUAUUUGAGAUUUUUUUCCCCUUUUCAUUAUUCUUUAUUCUUUCUCCUUUCUUCAUUCUUUUAUUC